UACGAAGGGUGCAAGCGUUGUUCGGAAUUACUGGGCGUAAAGGGCGUGUAGGCGGCUAUUUUAGUCAGGAGUGAAAUCCCGGGGCUUAACUUCGGAAUUGCUUUUGAGACGGGAUAGCUAGAGUGUGCUAGGGGACAAUGGAACACCCAGUGUAGAGGUGAAAUUCGUAGAUAUUGGGUAGAACACCGGAGGCGAAGGCGAUUGUCUGGGGUACUACUGACGCUGAGGCGAAAGCGUGGGGAUCAAACAG
rnacentral:rRNA from 1 species